GGAGGCGCCUGGGCACCUGGUGGGCUCCUCGGUCUUCAACACCGAUGUGCGGCGGUAUCCGUCGCGGGCGGGUUCGAUUCCCGUGCGUCUCC
rnacentral:tRNA from 1 species